ACGAGAAGACCACGAGUUAUGAUCCAGAGUACCACGAGACACGUGAAACCUUGUGGGAAGCAGGGAGGACCACCUCCCAAGGCUAAAUACUACCUGAUGACCGAUAGUGAAGCAGUACCGUGAGGGAAAGGUGAAAAGAACCCCGGGAGGGGAGUGAAAUAGAACCUGAAACCGUGUGCCUACAACCGCUCAGAGCCCCUUAUGAGGGUGAUGAGGUGCUUUUUGUAGAACGAGCCAACGAGUUACGGUAUGUAGCAAGGUUAAGUACUUAAGGUACGGAGCCGAAGGGAAACCGAGUCUGAAUAGGGCGACUAGUUGCAUGCCGUAGACCCGAAACCGGGUGACCUAUCCAUGGCCAGGUUGAAGCGAGGGUAAAACCUCGUGGAGGACCGAACCACGUUGCUGUUGAAAAAGCAUGGGAUGAGCUGUGGAUAGCGGAGAAAUUCCAAUCGAACCCGGAGAUAGCUGGUUCUCUCCGAAAUAGCUUUAGGGCUAGCGUCGAGUAUGAGUAGUGGAGGUAGAGCACUGAAUGGGCUAGGGGGCAUAGCGCUUACCGAACCUUAUCAAACUCCGAAUGCCACAUACUUUGAGCUCGGCAGUCAGACUACGAAUGAUAAGAUCCGUGGUCAAAAGGGAAACAGCCCAGAUCGUCAGCUAAGGUCCCAAAGUGUAAGUUAAGUGGGAAAGGAUGUGAGAUUUCUAAGACAACUAGGAUGUUGGCUUAGAAGCAGCCAUUCAUUAAAAGAGUGCGUAAUAGCUCACUAGUCGAGAGAUCUUGCGCCGAAAAUGUAACGGGGCUAAACUUACC
rnacentral:rRNA from 1 species